GGAAGGAUCAUUGAAUCUAUCACAAUCCACACCGUGAACCAUCCUGUUGGCCUCCUGACAGUUAAAAUGUGAGGGCUAGGACGCAGUUUCCGUAAAGGAACCUGCUCCUAGGUUGUCGGCAAAAAGGCUCUGUCCUUUUUGGCGGCAUCGGUCUUUAAAAUACUAACCAACCAACACCAAACCAAACCUAAUAAUAAACCGAGCGUCUGGCUUAGAGCCAGCGCUCACCAACCAAGACAACUCUCAACAACGGAUAUCUUGGCUCUCAGAUCGAUGAAGAACGCAGCGAAAUGCGAUACGUAGUGUGAAUUGCAGAAAUACGUGAAUCAUCGAAUCUUUGAACGCAAAUUGCGCUCGAGGCUUCGGCCAAGAGCAUGUCUGCCUCAGCGUCGGGUUAAUACUCGCUCUCAUAUUCCCUAGGGAUGUGAGCAAGCGGAACUGGCUGUCUCGGUGUUAUUAGCUUAACGCCGGGUCGGCUGAAGUACAGAGGUUGAUGCAUGGACCCGCUAAUGGGCCUCUACUGGGUAGGCAACUCGUUGCUAAUGCUUUAGUAGAUGGCUUGGGGCUGUGCUUUGUCGACCCGAACCAGGAACUCGGAGCAAUCCGAGCAAACCCCCUAUUUUCUCGACCUGAGCUCAGGCAAGAACACCCGCUGAACUUAAGCAUAUCAAUAAGCGGAGGGAAAAGAAACUAACAAGGAUUCCCCUAGUAACGGCGAGCGAACCGGGAAUAGCCCAACUUGAAAAUCUCCCUUUGGAGAAUUGUAGUCUAGAGAAGCGCUUUCUAGGGCUGGCGGAACUCAAGUCGGAUCGAAUGCCGCGUCAGAGAGGGUGAUAACCCCGUCGGUUCCUGCCUAGCUCUUCCACGAAGUGCUUUCCACGAGUCGGGUUGUUUGGGAAUGCAGCCCUAAUUUGGAGGUAAAUCCCUUCUAAGGCUAAAUACUGCUGAGAGACCGAUAGCGAACAAGUACCGUGAGGGAAAGAUGAAAAGAACUUUGAAAAGAGAGUUAAAAGUGCUUGAAAUUGUUGAGAGGGAAGCGAUUGGCGCGUGUAGGUGCGCCCAGGCUUAAGCGGUCCUAACGGCCCGUUGAAUGUGCUGGGUGCUGGUCAGAGUGGGUUGAAUUGGCGGGACAAAAGUCGGGUCCACCCAGGUAACCCGGCCGAUGCCGCCGAUUCGACCAAGGAGUAAAGAUCGCUCUGUCCUUCGGGAUCUGCGUUCUAAAGACUCUGGCAGAAACGCGUCAAUCGACCCGUCUUGAAACACGGACCAAGGAGUCUAACAUGUAUGCGAGUUGGCGGGUGGUAAACCGUAAGCGCAAGUAACCUGACUGGUGGGAUGGGGUAAAACCCUGCACCAUCGACCGACCAUGUUGUUUCUACGAAAGGUUUGAGUGCGAGCAUACCUGUUGGGACCCGAAAGAUGGUGAACUAUGCCUGAGCAGGGUGAAGCCAGAGGAAACUCUGGUGGAGGCUCGUAGAUGUGCUGACGUGCAAAUCGCUUUUCAGACUUGGGUAUAGGGGCGAAAGACUAAUCGAACCAUCUAGUAGCUGGUUCCCUC
rnacentral:misc_RNA from 1 species